GGUGCGGAAGACUAUACCAUUCCCAUACCCUAUAACUUUGUUCUAUUUCACACAUAUAAUUUUCCGAGACAAGAUGUUCUCAUUUAAGCAACAAGAAGAUUCGUCUCUCGCUAUUACUGUAACUGCUGUUUAUAUCGUCAUGUCCCGGAUAGGUCCCUGUCUUCCCUGAAUGGUCUCUACCAACUUCACCUCCGGUUCUAGGUGUCAUGGCUGCCCCAAGAGUCUAGAGACGACAACUUCUCCGCUUCCUCGGCGAUGGCGGCGUCCGGGAGCGGUAUGGCCCAGAAAACCUGGGAACUGGCCAACAACAUGCAGGAAGCUCAGAGUAUCGAUGAAAUCUACAAAUACGACAAGAAACAGCAGCAAGAAAUCCUGGCGGCGAAGCCCUGGACUAAGGAGUGAGGAGGUCCCUGGCGAGACGCAGGGGAGGGAAAGGGUGGCGGAGUUUAAGAGACCCAGAGGGAGAGGGAGGUAAAAGGGGUGAAGAGCUUUCACCGACUGGGAGGGGGACAGAAUAUGCGUCUUGGAUCUGCAAGUAGAGCCUAAGCCCUCCGCUGGGGCUUUCACUCCCCUUUCUGUCGCUUUAAUCCAUUUGCCCCCGGGUGAUGUAAGAGGAGAACAACAAGCGGUGAUUUAAGUUGUCACUUCUGAACAUCCGUAUUGUCAUAUAUGCCACACACCCUACCUUGAGCCCAGUGUCGACAUGCACCUUGUUUGGGUCUUCAACUAAUCCCAAACUGGGGAUUGCAGCUGUUUUCAGAAAUCGAGUCAGCAGCCCAAGGUCUCAAAAAUAGCUAUGAGCUAUUUUCUUUUCUUUUCUUUUCUUUUAAUAGAAAUGGGUCCUCGCUGUGUUGCUCAGGCUGAUCUCGAGCUUCUGCCUUCAAGCGAUCCUCCCGCCUUGGCCUUCCAAAGUGCUGGGAUUACAGGCGUGAGGCCUGGGCCUAUAAUAGUUUUUUGAUUGCUGGUAAUUAUUUCGGAGGCACACGGAGGCUCUACCUGGUCUCUAAAAUGUUACUCCACCAGUUCCCAUAAGCCAGAAAUUAUAAAAAUAGAGCUUAAGACCUUUUGCCCUUCAACAAUAUCCAUUUUUCCCUGGGAGUGGUGACAAGUCGAGGGAUCUUUACCCAUAAUAUUUAUCUUUUCCUGAGAGCAUCUCCUGAGAGAUUUCCUGCUCUCAGGAAAAGAUAAUUAUUACGGGUUAUGUUUGAGAGUAAAAAGAGCACGAAAGCUAAUGGUUAGAUAGAAAGGAGAGCUGUGGUCAACAAGAGGACAUACUUCUACUGCCUCACAGUUUUUUUUUUACAAGGCUAGCCUUGUCUCUCAGUAUUCAGAUUCCACAAUGGUGAACUGCGGAAGCACCUAGCUAGAGAUUUCCACGUCAUUUAAUUUUCAUGACAACCCAGUACAGUAUAUCCAUCCUUUUUUUUACAAAUUAAAAAUCAAGCAAAUACGUUAUGUAAUUUAUGAUCAUACUGACAUAAGUGAACUCUCAACUGAGCAAUAGUCAGACCUAAGAUCAAAUCUCACAGCUGUCACUAACUAGUUGAUUGACCUUAGGAAAUUUACUUAUCCAUCUUCAUUUGUCAUAAUAUGGAAAUAAGACCUACUUAUUGGUAUUGUCAUAGAGAUUAGGUGAGAUAAUGUAUAAAAAGAGUCGUCUAGAAUGUAUGUAAUAGGAGCACAGUAACUUGUCUUUCUUCUUUUCUCCAGUAAAGGGAGAAGCCAAGAUUUCGAUUCAUGUCUUGACUUCCAACAUGAGGUCUACACAUUUUUCAGCUUUUGGUUGAAAUCUGGCAAAGCUUAGGAAUUAAAUUUGGAUUCUUUCUGUGGGCAGACAUCUAAAAAGGCUUUGUAGAGACGUUGACUGACUGCUCUGUAAGGCUUCUUAAGUUGCUUGGUUAUCUGCUUGCUUCUGUAACAGGCUGUGCAUUUUAGGUUCGUGUACUCUUAAAUAUUUGGAAACUGUUGGCCUGCCUCACUGUCUAAUUGUGGCUCUAAUUAUAUUCAUCCUAGCUGUCUUGGGCUGCAUUAAUGAGACCAAAAUGUAAUUUUAUUCAAGAGUUUAAUUCACUGAUGACCAACUCUGAAAUAGUGAUCAUAGGAGACUAGGAUAUUAGGGCUACUUUUUAAUUUAAGGCUGAUAUAACAGGGAAGCCCACCCUUCAACACUCUGUUCUUUGAGAGUAGGGUUAAGAGACAGGUUAAUAAUGCUGAUAACAGCUAGCACUUAUUAGGGUUCUAGUAUGUGUAAGGCACUAAGCACUUUAUAUACAUUAUUUCAUUUAUUUCAUCCUAACAACAAUUAUGAAUAUCCCUAUUUACAGAAAAGGAAACCUAGGCACAGAUAUUACAGGGUUGUCCCAAUACCACAGCUAGGGAAUGGCAAUGUCAAGAUUCAGACCUUAGCAGAUGAAUGUCAGAACCCACAUUCUUAACCAUUAGGCCAGAAGGUUAGGCCUCAGAACAGUUAGGCACAACCAUCCAAGCAGUCAGAAUCCAAGAUUGGGUGAUUCCAAAUUAAUGGAGAAAAAGUCUAUUGAACUGGUCAUGUUACUCCCUUAUUUGAAUAGCAUAUUAAAAAAGUAUUUCAGACUUUUCCCCCUCCCCUAAGGGGGAUACGUUGCUGCACUAUGACAUACUUAUUGUUUCCAGCCUGCAAAAACUGUCCUUUUAUACUUUUUCUCCCCGUAGUCUACACUCCCUUUCCAUCGCUCUAAAUUCCUUCAAUACUUACUCUUUAUCUUCAUAAAAACUUUUCUGAAAUUUUACUUUAUAUAAGGAAUUUAAUUACAUUGUGAUUUUGUUUUGCAGUCACCAUUACUUUAAGUACUGCAAAAUCUCAGCAUUGGCUCUGCUGAAGAUGGUGAUGCAUGCCAGAUCGGGAGGCAACUUGGAAGUGAUGGGUCUGAUGCUAGGAAAGGUGGAUGGUGAAACCAUGAUCAUUAUGGACAGUUUUGCUUUGCCUGUGGAGGGCACUGAAACCCGAGUAAAUGCUCAGGCUGCUGCAUAUGAAUACAUGGCUGCAUACAUAGAAAAUGCGAAACAGGUUGGCCGCCUUGAAAAUGCAAUCGGGUGGUAUCAUAGCCACCCUGGCUAUGGCUGCUGGCUUUCUGGGAUUGAUGUUAGUACUCAGAUGCUCAAUCAGCAGUUCCAGGAACCAUUUGUAGCAGUGGUGAUUGAUCCAACAAGAACAAUAUCCGCAGGGAAAGUGAAUCUUGGCGCCUUUAGGACAUACCCAAAGGGCUACAAACCUCCUGAUGAAGGACCUUCUGAGUACCAGACUAUUCCACUUAAUAAAAUAGAAGAUUUUGGUGUACACUGCAAACAAUAUUAUGCCUUAGAAGUCUCAUAUUUCAAAUCCUCUUUGGAUCGCAAAUUGCUUGAGCUGUUGUGGAAUAAAUACUGGGUGAAUACGUUGAGUUCUUCUAGCUUGCUUACUAAUGCAGACUAUACCACUGGUCAGGUCUUUGAUUUGUCUGAAAAGUUAGAGCAGUCAGAAGCCCAGCUGGGACGAGGGAGUUUCAUGUUGGGUUUAGAAACGCAUGACCGAAAAUCAGAAGACAAACUUGCCAAAGCUACGAGAGACAGCUGUAAAACUACCAUAGAAGCUAUCCAUGGAUUGAUGUCUCAGGUUAUUAAGGAUAAACUGUUUAAUCAAAUUAACAUCUCUUAAACAGUCUCUGAGAAGUACUUUACCUGAAAGACAGUAUGAGAAAAAUAUUCAAGUAACACUUUAAAACCAGUUACCCAAAAUCUGAUUAGAAGUAUAAGGUGCUCUGAAGUGUCCUAAAUAUUAAUAUCCUGUAAUAAAGCUCUUUAAAAUGAAA
rnacentral:sRNA from 1 species